rnacentral:lncRNA from 1 species
UUCCUGUACCAAUUGGAGUAACCAUCUAGUAAUGGUAUCCGACAUCCGGAUAGGCCGAAUGUAUGUAAAGCAACACUCAAGAACCUAUUUGAAUAUAGUUACCGUAUAAUUCAUCCUUUUGACCUUUGAUGCUAGGAUGACUUAGAGUUUAAACUGUCAACUCUUAAUGAUACAUCCAUUAUGUAUCUCAAUCUGAUAAAUCUUGUAACUCCUCAUAAAGAUUGCCCUGGUCA